GUGGGGAAUCUUGGGCAAUGGGGGAAACCCUGACCCAGCAACGCCGCGUGAAGGAAGAAGGUUUUCGGAUCGUAAACUUCUAUCCUUGGUGAAGAUAAUGACGGUAGCCAAGAAGGAAGCCCCGGCUAACUACGUGCCAGCAGCCGCGGUAAUACGUAGGGGGCAAGCGUUGUCCGGAAUGAUUGGGCGUAAAGGGCGCGUAGGCGGCCUGGUAAGUCUGGAGUGAAAGUCCUGCUUUUAAGGUGGGAAUUGCUUUGGAUACUGUCGGGCUUGAGUGCAGGAGAGGUAAGCGGAAUUCCCGGUGUAGCGGUGAAAUGCGUAGAGAUCGGGAGGAACACCAGUGGCGAAGGCGGCUUACUGGACUGUAACUGACGCUGAGGCGCGAAAGUGUGGGGAGCAAACAGGAUUAGAAACCCCGGUAGUCC
rnacentral:rRNA from 1 species